UACGUAGGGUGCGAGCGUUGUCCGGAAUUAUUGGGCGUAAAGAGCUUGUAGGCGGUUUUGUCGCGUCAUCGCUGUCGAAAUUUCGGGGCUCAACCCCGAACUUGCAGUGGGUACGGGGCAGACUAGAGUGUGGUAGGGGAGAACUGGAAUUCCUGGUGUAGCGGUGAAAUGCGCAGGAUAAUCAGGAGGAACACCGAGUGGCGAAGGCAGG
rnacentral:rRNA from 1 species